GACGAACGCUGGCGGCGUGCCUAAUACAUGCAAGUCGAACGCUUCUUUCCUCCCGAGUGCUUGCACUCAAUUGGAAAGAGGAGUGGCGGACGGGUGAGUAACACGUGGGUAACCUACCCAUCAGAGGGGGAUAACACUUAGAAACAGGUGCUAAUACCGCAUAACAGUUUAUGCCGCAUGGCAUAAGAGUGAAAGGCGCUUUCGGGUGUCGCUGAUGGAUGGACCCGCGGUGCAUUAGCUAGUUGGUGAGGUAACGGCUCACCAAGGCCACGAUGCAUAGCCGACCUGAGAGGGUGAUCGGCCACACUGGGACUGAGACACGGCCCAGACUCCUACGGGAGGCAGCAGUAGGGAAUCUUCGGCAAUGGACGAAAGUCUGACCGAGCAACGCCGCGUGAGUGAAGAAGGUUUUCGGAUCGUAAAACUCUGUUGUUAGAGAAGAACAAGGACGUUAGUAACUGAACGUCCCCUGACGGUAUCUAACCAGAAAGCCACGGCUAACUACGUG
rnacentral:rRNA from 1 species